rnacentral:rRNA from 1 species
AGAGUUUGAUCCUGGCUCAGGACGAACGCUGGCGGCGUGCCUAACACAUGCAAGUCGAACGGGACCGGGGGCAACUCCGGUUCAGUGGCGGACGGGUGCGUAACACGUGAGGAACAUGACUUUCGGUGGGGGAUAGCCGGCCCAACGGCCGGGUAAUACCGCGUACGACCUUUCGGGGACAUCCCCGGUUGGUGAAAGCAGCAAUGCGCCGAAAGAGUGCCUCGCGGCCUAUCAGCUAGUUGGUGGGGUAAUGGCUCACCAAGGCGACGACGGGUAGCUGGUCUGAGAGGACGACCAGCCACACUGGAACUGAGACACGGUCCAGACACCUACGGGUGGCAGCAGUCGAGAAUUUUUCUCAAUGGGCGCAAGCCUGAAGGAGCGACGCCGCGUGGGGGAUGAAGGGUUUCGAUCCGUAAACCCCUGUCAUUUGUGAACAAUGCUUGAGCGUGAACAACGUUCAAGUUGAUAGUAAUGAAAGAGGAAGGGACGGCUAACUCUGUGCCAGCAGCCGCGGUAAUACAGAGGUCCCGAGCGUUGUUCGGAUUCACUGGGCGUAAAGGGUGCGUAGGUGGCAUGUUAAGUUUGAUGUGAAAGCUCAGGGCUUAACCCUGAAAUGGCAUUGAAUACUAGCGUGCUGGAGGUUUGGAGGGGGGACUGGAAUUCUCGGUGUAGCAGUGAAAUGCGUAGAUAUCGAGAGGAACACCAGUGGCGAAGGCGAGUCCCUGGACAACACCUGACACUGAGGCACGAAAGCCGGGGGAGCAAACAGGAUUAGAUACCCCUGUAGUCC